UGCAGUCGAACGAUGAUGCCCAGCUUGCUGGGUGGAUUAGUGGCGAACGGGUGAGUAACACGUGAGUAACCUGCCCCUGACUCUGGGAUAAGCGUUGGAAACGACGUCUAAUACUGGAUAUGACUGCCGGCCGCAUGGUCUGGUGGUGGAAAGAUUUUUUGGUUGGGGAUGGACUCGCGGCCUAUCAGCUUGUUGGUGAGGUAAUGGCUCACCAAGGCGACGACGGGUAGCCGGCCUGAGAGGGUGACCGGCCACACUGGGACUGAGACACGGCCCAGACUCCUACGGGAGGCAGCAGUGGGGAAUAUUGCACAAUGGGCGAAAGCCUGAUGCAGCAACGCCGCGUGAGGGAUGACGGCCUUCGGGUUGUAAACCUCUUUUAGUAGGGAAGAAGCGUAAGUGACGGUACCUGCAGAAAAAGCACCGGCUAACUACGUGCCAGCAGCCGCGGUAAUACGUAGGGUGCAAGCGUUGUCCGGAAUUAUUGGGCGUAAAGAGCUCGUAGGCGGUUUGUCGCGUCUGCUGUGAAAUCCCGAGGCUCAACCUCGGGCUUGCAGUGGGUACGGGCAGACUAGAGUGCGGUAGGGGAGAUUGGAAUUCCUGGUGUAGCGGUGGAAUGCGCAGAUAUCAGGAGGAACACCGAUGGCGAAGGCAGAUCUCUGGGCCGUAACUGACGCUGAGGAGCGAAAGCGUGGGGAGCGAACAGGAUUAGAUACCCUGGUAGUCCACGCCGUAAACGUUGGGCGCUAGAUGUAGGGACCUUUCCACGGUUUCUGUGUCGUAGCUAACGCAUUAAGCGCCCCGCCUGGGGAGUACGGCCGCAAGGCUAAAACUCAAAGGAAUUGACGGGGGCCCGCACAAGCGGCGGAGCAUGCGGAUUAAUUCGAUGCAACGCGAAGAACCUUACCAAGGCUUGACAUACACCGGAAACGGCCAGAGAUGGUUGCCCCCUUGUGGUCGGUGUACAGGUGGUGCAUGGUUGUCGUCAGCUCGUGUCGUGAGAUGUUGGGUUAAGUCCCGCAACGAGCGCAACCCUCGUUCUAUGUUGCCAGCGCGUUAUGGCGGGGACUCAUAGGAGACUGCCGGGGUCAACUCGGAGGAAGGUGGGGAUGACGUCAAAUCAUCAUGCCCCUUAUGUCUUGGGCUUCACGCAUGCUACAAUGGCCGGUACAAAGGGCUGCGAUACCGUAAGGUGGAGCGAAUCCCAAAAAGCCGGUCUCAGUUCGGAUUGAGGUCUGCAACUCGACCUCAUGAAGUCGGAGUCGCUAGUAAUCGCAGAUCAGCAACGCUGCGGUGAAUACGUUCCCGGGCCUUGUACACACCGCCCGUCAAGUCAUGAAAGUCGGUAACACCCGAAGCCGGUGGCCUAACCCU
rnacentral:rRNA from 1 species